rfam:Acidobacteria bacterium SCN 69-37 ABS36_C0017, whole genome shotgun sequence.
GGCGUUUUUCGCGCAGGCGGAGCUCGACCGCCGACCGAAGUGCUGGUGGUCUUCAUCGACCAGGAGCGGGCCACGUACGGAGUCGAGCCGAUCUGCGCGGUGCUGCCGAUCGCUCCG